GUGAAAGUGAAAGUGUUUUCCUCACACAAGCGACUAACGGACACUAGUAACGGACUCUCAACCCGAGCAGACAGCUGAAAUCCCCAAAGCCAUCAAUUAUCAACAUGGUGCAGCGAGAUUUGCGUGAGCCGAAAUUGUUCAUGAUGGUGUUUGGGAACCCGCUUAACUCUCACCUGACGUUUAUGAACCGACUCAGGCAACGUCUCAGUUACGGUGAAGGGACUUCAAUAGAAGAGAGCGACGUCAUCAUUGCUUUCGUCGCCAUUUCAUCUCGAGCUGGAACAGAUAUUGAAGCUGCUCUUCAGGAAAUUCCACAAGGAUUGGCUCAGUCUAUUUUUCUAGUGGUGCUCCACCACACCUUUGAUGAAAAUUGGGUGAUUCCAGACAGCAGGCGGUCUGUUAACAGGAGGAACGUCUUCACUGUGGACUGCCUGUUUCAUGAAGACCUAGGCUUCCUGAGAUGUCAAAGCAACGACGAGGCUCUGAGAGCAGUUACUGAUCGUCUAAUCUUUUUAGGAGUUUCAGAAAGGUCAACGGUAGGUUUUAUAAACUGUAUUUUCACUGUUAUGCCCUGUUUAGGGUAUAAUAAUCUGUUUUACAGCAGUGUUUCUCACACCUCUGUUUUAGAAUGAACCUUUUUCUUUACUUGUGUGUUAGUUAAUGAGGAAGCAUAAAAAUUAGCAUAAACUGUAACGGUUUUUGGUCAUGUUGUAAUCCAUGACUGAGGCUACUGUCUGUUCCUCAUCAAUACACCAAAACAGACAUCUCACCCUGCAAGAACUCAUAACAGUAAGGCAGCAUUAAUGCCUCAACCACAGACUUUUCCUUUAAGUCCGCCAUGCCCAGGCCCAGGCCCAAAAAAACAGAUAUAUAGUCACUAUUCCAAACAGUGCAGUGAUUAACAGUGUCAUUAUUUCACUCCUAUCCACCCGUGAUAGAUUGAAGUGUAGUUUGGGUUGAAAUGUGUUUUAUAUUUUGUGUUUAAUGUACACUCUGCUAUGGCGCUGCAUAAGCCCUACCCAUACAGAAACCUCAUUGAUUGGUCAACUAAGCAUAGAGCAAGACCAAUCAGGAGACCUUAUUUGUCACUCUCGCCUUUUGUUGCUUGGGUGCGCUUUCUCUCAUUCACUCACUCGCUCUAAACACGUUUUUCAAGAUAUUGUAUAAACUGUAUUUUUUGCACUAUAAGGUGCACCGGGUAAUAAGGCAUUAUGUAACACUAGUAAAGAACAGGGAUGUUGCUAUGUUUCAGCAGGUCACUCUGCUGGGUGGUGUGACCUGUAAAGCUAAGUUAAGUUAACAAAACUGUAAUUCUAAAAAAAAAGAGUAAUGGAUGUUAAUCUACACAGAUUUCUCUCCUGAAAACUGUUUAUUUGAGUGAGUAAAGCGCUUCCGUUUAUUUAUGUCAGGGUGACCCAGGCAGGGAGACGAGGAGGCGGACACAAGUGCAGGUAAGGGAAAAAUGAAUAAUUUAAUAAAAUAAAUAUAAAUAAACA
rnacentral:lncRNA from 1 species